rnacentral:rRNA from 1 species
GUGUCAGCAGCCGCGGUAAUACGGGGGGAGCAAGCGUUGUUCGGAUUUACUGGGCGUAAAGGGCGCGUAGGCGGCGUGGUAAGUCACUUGUGAAAUCUCCGAGCUUAACUCGGAACGGUCAAGUGAUACUGCUGUGCUAGAGUGCGGAAGGGGCAACUGGAAUUCUCGGUGUAGCGGUGAAAUGCGUAGAUAUCGAGAGGAACACCUGCGGCGAAGGCGGGUUGCUGGGCCGACACUGACGCUGAGGCGCGAAAGCUAGGGGAGCGAACGGGAUUAGAUACCCCGGUAGUCCUAGCCUUAAACGAUGAAUGCUUGGUGUCUGGAGUAUUUAGUCUCCGGGUGCCGUCGCUAACGCUUUUAGCAUUCCGCCUGGGGAGUACGGUCGCAAGACUGAA